AGAAAAAUGCAUCUUUAAAAUGAUGCCUGGUGUUUGGCUUGAGAUCUGGAUGGAGAAGCAUAAAGGUUCUCACACAGACAGUUGUAUUUUGGAAGAAGGGUCUUUGAAUCUCCUCACUCUUGUUUUGAAGGGUCCUUAAAGAGAUCUCAGCCACACUGCAGGAUACGCUGUUCGCUGACACUCAUCAUUUCAUCUGAAUCCCACCGUUGUACAGGUAUCUACAUGAAGCUCUUUUGGGCGUCUGACAGAUGACCUGCUCAUACAGCAGUUACCAUGGAAAUGGAAAUAAUAAGGUACAUGCAGAACGCCCACUUGACUCUGAGAUCUUCCCGGCAACACUGGCAACACUCUUACACUUGUAAGCAUCAAACAGACAUGUGUUGUGCUUAUCAUGUGACUAAUGCUUUUGAGUGAAGCGUAACCAUGACAACCUGAAGAUAUGCUGCAUGGUGUGCUGUGGGGUUUUUAAAUCAGCUCUUAGAGGAGAGUAUAAAUGGAUAAAUAACUGCAGAAACCCAUGAACGUGUCAUAAUAUUUAUUUUACGGGUAUGCAAAACAUCUUAAUAAAUGUUUUAUCUUAAUAAAACAUGCUAUUUAUCUUAAAUGAUCAAAUUGAUACCCCAAACAAAAUGAAGGUAAAUCAUAUUGUCCUGACACUAUCCAUUUGCUCGCCUCCUAUGAUGUAUCUGCAUAACAUAACGCACCACAUUACAAAAUCAAAUUAAGCCAAAAUAAUAAACUGUUAUUAUUUACAUAAUGGCAACCACAACCUUUUUUAAGCUUGAC